rnacentral:rRNA from 1 species
UGGGGAAUAUUGGACAAUGGGGGCAACCCUGAUCCAGCGAUGCCGCGUGUGUGAAGAAGGCCUGCGGGUUGUAAAGCACUUUCGGUGGGGAAGAGAGGCGUUCUUUGAAUAGGGGGACGCUGAGACGUUACUCACAAAAGAAGCACCGGCUAACUCUGUGCCAGCAGCCGCGGUAAUACAGAGGGUGCGAGCGUUAAUCGGAGUGACUGGGCGUAAAGGGCGCGUAGGCGGUUAUAUUAGUCUGAUGUGAAAGACUUGGGCUUAACCUGGGAAUUGCAUUGGAAACGGUAUAGCUAGAGUUUGAGAGAGGGAAGUGGAAUUUCCGGUGUAGCGGUGAAAUGCGUAGAGAUCGGAAAGAACACUCGUGGCGAAGGCGACUUUCUGGCUCAAAACUGACGCUGAGGUGCGAAAGCGUGGGGAGCAAACAG